rnacentral:rRNA from 1 species
UACAGAGGGUGCGAGCGUUGUUCGGAAUUAUUGGGCGUAAAGAGCUCGUAGGCGGUCUGUCACGUCGGCUGUGAAAACCCGAGGCUCAACCUCGGGCCUGCAGUCGAUACGGGCAGACUAGAGUUCGGUAGGGGAGACUGGAAUUCCUGGUGUAGCGGUGAAAUGCGCAGAUAUCAGGAGGAACACCGGUGGCGAAGGCGGUUCUCUGGGCAUUACCUGACGCUGAGGAGCGAAAGUGUGGGGAGCGAACAGG